GAUGAAGAACGUAGCGAAAUGCGAUAAGUAAUGUGAAUUGCAGAAUUCAGUGAAUCGUCGAAUCUUUGAACGCACAUUGCGCCCGCCAGUAUUCUGGCGAGCAUGCCUGUUCGAGCGUCAUUUCAACCAUCAAGCCCCAGGCUUGUGUUGGAGCCCUGCGGCUGCCGCAGCCUCCCAAAACCAGUGGCGGGCUCGCUAUCACACCGAGUGCAGUAGUUUACUCUUCGCUCAGGGCGUGUGGCGGGUGCUAGCCGUGAAACCCCCAACUUCUCAAGGUUGACCUCGGAUCAGGUAGGAAUACCCGCUGAACUUAAGCAUAUCAUAAGCGGAGGA
rnacentral:misc_RNA from 1 species